UCUGAACCGGUUCAAGGAACGAAAGCGAAAAACGAAAACAAAUGACAUUGAACAGGAACAAAAACAAAAACGAAAACAAAAUCAAUUUUAAUCGUUCUGAACAGAAACGGAAACAGAAAUUCCAAAUUAACCGGUUAAUAACGGUAUUUUUUAUCGUUCUCUUUAUUAUAUCAAUUUGGCAGACCAAAAACACGAAUUCAAAUUGUGUGCGCAAAUGCGACGGUGACGCAUACAACGUGAAAUGCCCGCGAAGCAGACGUCAUAAGCAGAGCCCUUUCUGAUGCGACGAGCUUAAGGUUACCAAGCACCUGGCUGUUUCAUGUGCAAAGCCCCCCGGCAGAUGAGCCUGCGCACUGGAGCACUGGAACACUGGAGCACUGGAGCACGAGUGCUACAUUACACCUGAGAAGCUUGCUAGCUCCGUGCGGAUUACCUAAGUGAGGACCAGAAGGGAGAAGGACAGUGGGGAUUCAGAACCAGCCACCAAGGCGCCCUGCCACCCCACAUUCCCCGUUGUGCAUCAAGGUCACGCCGUUGUGUCUGCAACCUAUAAAUCACCCAUAAUUAUCACCAUUUUAAUGAAGUCUUCUGAGGAACAAAAAGAUUCUUCACGGAGCCGGGAGCCUAUCCCAGGCAACACAGGACAUGAUAAAACAUUCACAUAAACUUCCCAGGAUAUGGGCAUUGUAACUUAUACAUAAAAACCUUACAAAAAUAAUUGGACAAUUAUUUUAUGAGUAACCACAAUCAACAAUGUAACAUCUGGUUUAAACCAGUCACACAAUGCAUAUGGGUACUAUUAAGAACUCAAGUUAUAUUCAUUUGUUACAAUGUGUCAAAACCAUUAAAACACACAUAGUAUUUCCACAUAAUCUUUCCAUAAAGUAUCACUUUAUGACCUACAACUGGCCCUUUCUCCUCAGUUUGAGGUACACCUCUCUUCCCACUGAUUUCAUUUUGUCUUGUGACAAAUAUAUGUCACAAAUGAAAAUAAAAAUGCUUACUUUUGGUAAUCUCCAUCCAUUCUAUCCAUGAAUUUUGUAGUACAAUGAAUUAAUCAUUGAUUUGUGUUUGUGUAGACCACUUAAAGAUAACCUUCCAGAAUGCAGCCAAUUCAGAGCCGGGAUUUAGGGCUGAUCCCAGAAUGCACAUAGCCAGUGCCACCCAGCACAGGGCAUAGUGGCAGAGUAAGUGUUUAGUGACAGAGAGUCACCUCAGCUAUGUCUCUUUGGACUUUGGAAAGAAACCAGAUUAUCUGGAAGAAAUCCGUGCAAGAAUGUGAACACCAUUCACACAGAUAGAGUACAGCUGUCAAAGACACAAUUACAGCAUU